rnacentral:rRNA from 1 species
AUUGAACGCUGGCGGCAGGCCUAACACAUGCCAGUCGAGCGGAUGAAGGGAGCUUGCUCCUGUCUUCAGCUGCGGACGGGUGAGUAAUGCCUAGGAAUCUGCCUGGUAGUGGGGGAUAACGUCCGUAAACGGGCGCUAAUACCGCAUACGUCCUGAUGGAGAACGUGGUGGAUCUUCGGACCUCACGCUAUCAGAUGAGCCUAGGUCGUAUUAGCUAGUUGGUGGGGUAAAGGCCUACCAAGGCGACGAUCCGUAACUGGUCUGAGAGGAUGAUCAGUCACACUGGAACUGAGACACGGUCCAGACUCCUACGGGAGGCAGCAGUAGGGAAUAUUGCGCAAUGGGCGAAAGCCUGAUGCAGCAACGCCGCGUGUGUGAAGAAGGUCUUCGGAUUGUAAAGCACUUUUAGUAGGGAAGAAGAUAAGUAAGUUAAUACCUUGAUGUCUUGACGGUACCAACAGAGUAAGCAACGGCUAACUUCGUG